UCUCUCCAGUACAGUAGGUAGACUGUGAAUGGCCUCUCUCUCCAGUACAGUAGGUAGACUGUGAAUGGCCUCUCUCUCCAGUACAGUAGGUAGACUGUGAAUGGCCUCUCUCUCCAGUACAGUAGGUAGACUGUGAAUGGCCUCUCUCUCCAGUACAGUAGGUAGACUGUGAAUGGCCUCUCUCUCCAGUACAGUAGGUAGACUGUGAAUGGCCUCUCUCUCCAGUACAGUAGGUAGACUGUGAAUGGCCUCUCUCUCCAGUACAGUAGGUAGACUGUGAAUGGCCUCUCUCUCCAGUACAGUAGGUAGACUGUGAAUGGCC